GUACUUUUCAAAGUGGCUGUUGUAUGUACCGUGUUGAUUCAUAUCACAGCCAGCUUUGAGAGUUACUG
rnacentral:pre_miRNA from 16 species